UAGAGGUGAUAAACCUACCGAACUUGGUGAUAGCUGGUUGCCUAAGAAAUGGAUAUUAGUUNAGCCUCGUCUGCCCUAGUCAAGCAAGUAAACUAGACAAAGAGAAAAGCACGAGAGUUAGUUAAAGGGGGUACAGCCCCUUUAACAAAGGAUACAACUUNACAGGAGGAUAAGGAUCAUAUUUGCACNAAAACCAACCG
rnacentral:rRNA from 1 species